GCCUCCCAAAGUGCUGGGAUUACAGGCUUGAGCCACCGCGCCCGGCCAGUCAUAGAUUUCUUUGUUCCUUCUCCACUCCCACUGCUUCACUUGACUAGGCUUAA
rnacentral:Y_RNA from 10 species